rnacentral:rRNA from 1 species
AUUGAACGCUGGCGGCAGGCUUAACACAUGCAAGUCGAGCGGGGUGAUGGUGCUUGCACUAUCACUUAGCGGCGGACGGGUGAGUAAUGCUUAGGAAUCUGCCUAUUAGUGGGGGACAACAUCUCGAAAGGGAUGCUAAUACCGCAUACGUCCUACGGGAGAAAGCAGGGGAUCACUUGUGACCUUGCGCUAAUAGAUGAGCCUAAGUCGGAUUAGCUAGUCGGUGGGGUAAAGGCCUACCAAGGCGACGAUCUGUAGCUGGUCUGAGAGGAUGAUCCGCCACACUGGGACUGAGACACGGCCCAGACUCCUACGGGAGGCAGCAGUGGGGAAUAUUGGACAAUGGGGGGAACCCUGGUCCAGCCAUGCCGCGUGUGUGAAGAAGGCCUUAUGGUUGUAAAGCACUUUAAGCGAGGAGGAGGCUCUUUUGGUUAAUACCCAAGAUGAGUGGACGUUACUCGCAGAAUAAGCACCGGCUAACUCUGUGCCAGCAGCCGCAGUAA